GACGAACGCUGGCGGCGUGCCUAAUACAUGCAAGUAGAACGCUGAAGAAAGGAGCUUGCUUCUUUUGGAUGAGUUGCGAACGGGUGAGUAACGCGUAGGUAACCUGCCUUGUAGCGGGGGAUAACUAUUGGAAACGAUAGCUAAUACCGCAUAACAGCUUUUGACACAUGUUAGAAGCUUGAAAGAUGCAAUUGCAUCACUACGAGAUGGACCUGCGUUGUAUUAGCUAGUAGGUAGGGUAACGGCCUACCUAGGUGACGAUACAUAGCCGACCUGAGAGGGUGAUCGGCCACACUGGGACUGAGACACGGCCCAGACUCCUACGGGAGGCAGCAGUAGGGAAUUUUCGGCAAUGGGGGCAACCCUGACCGAGCAACGCCGCGUGAGUGAAGAAGGUUUUCGGAUCGUAAAGCUCUGUUGUAAGAGAAGUACGUGUGUGAGAGUGGUAAGUUCACACAGUGACGGUAACUUACCAGAAAGG
rnacentral:rRNA from 1 species